rnacentral:rRNA from 1 species
CCUACGGGUGGCAGCAGUGGGGAAUAUUGGGCAAUGGACGCAAGUCUGACCCAGCAACGCCGCGUGAAGGAAGAAGGCUUUCGGGUUGUAAACUUCUUUUAAGGGGGAAGAGCAGAAGACGGUACCCCUUGAAUAAGCCACGGCUAACUACGUGCCAGAAGCCGCGGUAAUACGUAGGUGGCAAGCGUUGUCCGGAUUUACUGGGUGUCAAGGGUGCGCAGGCGGGCCUUUAAGCCGGCGGUGAACUCGCGGGGCUCAACCCCGCCGAGCCGUCGGAACUGGGGGCCUUGAGUGCGGCGGAGGCAUGCGGAAUGCGCGGUGUAGCGGUGAAAUGCAUAGAUAUCGCGCAGAACCCCGAUUGCGAAGGCAGCGUGCCGUGCCGCCACUGACGCUGAGGCACGAAAGCGCGGGGAUCGAACAGGAUUAGAUACCCUAGUAGUC